CAUUCCUCCAGUAGCAAAAGAAAUGCGGGCAUUUUCUCAUUUAUUUUCCACAAGAAAGAAACAAAGAAAUCUGCGCUGCCCCCCUCCAAGUCCAUGCAGAGUCUAAAAAUCAGAAAUUGUGAUCGACGGCCCCAAUAUCUGGGGUUCAGGAGGCUCGGAGAACUGAGGGUGGGAGGGGUGGCUGUGGUUUAGGCUCAGAUCAAAACUCCUCCAUUUGAAAGAAAACGAAGUGGGUGCAAAAUGCAGGUUCUCAAAGAAAGGCCACAGAAUGAAAAUUUCAUUUCUCACAGAAUUCAUCCCACGCUGCACUUAGGGUUUGAAGUCCUAAAAGCUCAGGUUGAUGCUCACGAAGAGCUUACCUUCUGAAAGAGUAGGGCUCUACCUUCCGGUGAGGUCAGGAAACAUGAACAAACAGGCAAAAUCAGGUGUGUGUGUGGGGGGGGCGGGGGGGGUGCUGAAGGGGCAGAGGGGCUGAAGCCCCACCAGCCAGGGGCAAGGCUCUGAAAGGCACAGGGGACUGUGGACUCCACACUUCUCACAGUCCCACAGUAGAACCUAACAGCCUGGGCCAACAUUUGUCCAAGUGUGGUCCAGUGUCCACUAUGCCUCAGAAUCCCUCUGGGUGAAGGGGGGUGGGAGGGCUUGUUAAAAAUGCAGAUUCCCAGGCCCCAUCCUCAUCUUCCUGAAUUAGAAUCUUUAGGAACAGAAGGUGGAAUCUGCAUUUGAUGGGAAUACCCUGGACGGGUUAUUCUGAUGUGGCUCGCCAGCUCCCUAAUACACCUGCAGACAAUAAGCACUUAUCAGCUCCCUGCUGUGCACAGGGGAGCACCCCGGCUGUUGUGCCAUGUGCCAAAGAAGCAGAAGGUGGCUUUGCGCCCUAAGGGGUAUACACUAGAGAUGUCCAUAAAUCCUCAGGGGCUUGUUCCAGGUCCACUUGCUUGCUGGCUGACUGGUGUUCAUAGGAAGCUCCAGUGCCGUGGCCUCAUGGGUUUCUCUUCUUGCAAGCAGAAAACCAAAGUCAAACUGGGCAAAUGGUUCAUUGCCCAUGUGUGGAGGAAGGGUCAAGUCAGAAGAGGACCAUUUGCCACAGGACUCUGGGAGCUGUGGAGAAAAUGGUCUGGCUGCCCCUGGAGUCCGUACAGAACCGAACGCCUUUUAACUGAGGAGAAGCAAUUCUGACCUCACUGUCGUCAUCAUCAUGAGUUUUCAUUUUAAAAAGUAACUCCCUCCUCAGGGGCACCUGGGUGGCUCAGUGGUUCAGAAUCUGCCUUCAGCCCAGGGCGUGAUCCUGGAGUCCCAGGAUCGAGUCCCACAUCGGGCUCCCUGCAUGGAGCCUGCUUCUGCCUCUGCCUGUGUCUCUGCCUCACUCUGUGUGUGUCUCUCAUGAAUAAAUAAAAUCUUAAAAAAAAAUUAACUCCUUUA
rnacentral:lncRNA from 12 species